CCCUACCUAUUUUUCCCGACAUAUGCUAUAAUACUCUUACGUUAUAUUGCAAUUCUGAUUUAUGGCAGUCUUUGGGACCUAUGCAAUGGAGCCCCAUGAAUCCUGUCAGGCCUGAGAAGGAGCAGCAGUAAGUGGUAUGUUUCAUGUGCCAUAGUGAAUCCUGAAGGCUGUCAUAAAUGAGAGUUGCAAUUUUUUUAUUGGAGGAAUGUAUGG
rnacentral:misc_RNA from 1 species